rnacentral:lncRNA from 1 species
GGAUAAGGGAGCCCAGCAGCCCUCACACAUACUUGCUCUCGGACAAGCUUUGUCAAAUGCCCCACUUUAGAAGUAGGGAAUGCUAGUUAGCAUUCCUGGGAGAAGUGAGUCUCUAUGGCUUGCCCUUUUGAAACUGGUUUCCAAACAAAAUGCAUACUCAUGAAUAUUUAUUGAUCAUAAAAGUUUGGCAGAUUAGAGCAGAAGAAGGGUAGCAUGAGGAGUACCAACUCUUAAACCUGAGUAGGACUCAUGUCUGCACUACACCUUAUACAACAGUGUCUGUGAAAUGGUUAAAGAGUAAAAACCCAAUCUGUUGCAGCCAGAAAGGAGUACUCGGCAAGAAGAACCAGGGAGCUGACAUGUUCCUAGAUCCAGGAGCCACCCAGUGGAUUGACGAUUCUUAUCAUAAUAAGACUUCCUUGAACCAUCCCCCACCCAACCCUUUUCCAGAAAGAGUUGAAGACAAAUCUACAGUGAAUAGGAGGCUGAGGCCACCACAGUGAGUUCCAAGAGUAUGCACCACAGUGCCCCCUCUUAUUCAAUCCCAAUCAUUGCUAAGCAACUAACUGGUUGUCAGUGGUGGCAGAGAUAAAAAGCCCAUUCUGCUUCGAGAAGAAUCCCUUGGCAGAAGUUACUGUUCCCAAGCUCAAAAAA